GCGCGGAGGCGACUACAGACAUGUCAGGGGUACGGGGCCUGUCGCGGUUGCCAAGCGCUCGGCGCUUGGCGCUGGCCAAGGCGUGGCCAACAGUGUUGCAAACAGGAACCCGAGGUGUUCACUUCACUGUUGAAGGAACGAGAGGGCAUCUGCUGAAGUUUCAGAUUCCAUUUCUGCUCAGUAGUGGAUCAUGAAUUUGAUGCAGUGAUGGUAGGCGCUAGAAGGGCAGGCUUGCGAGCUGCAUUUGGCCUUUCCGAGGCAGAGUUUGAUACAGCAUGUGUUACCAAGCUGUUUCCUACCAGGUCACACACUGUUGCAGCGCAGGGAGGAAUCAAUGCUGCUCUGGGGAACAUGGAGGAGGACAACUGGAGGUGGCAUUUCUACGACACCGUGAAGGGCUCCGACUGGCUGGGGGACCAGGAUGCCAUCCACUACGUGACGGAGCAGGCCCCCACUGCCAUGGUCGAGGUAGAAAAUUAUGGCAUGCCGUUUAGCAGAACUGAAGAUGGGAAGAUUUAUCAGCGUGCAUUUGGCAGACAGAGCCUCAAGUUUGGAAAGGGCGGGCAGGCCCAUCGGUGCUGCUGUGUGGCUGAUCGGACCGGCCACUCAAUAUUGCACACCUCAUAUGGGAGGGCACAUAUGGUGCUGGUUGUCUCAUUACGGAAGGAUGUUGUGGAGAGGGAGGCAUUCUCAUUAACAGUCAAGGUGAAAGGUUUAUGGAGCGAUACGCCCCCAUCGCGAAGGACCUGGCGUCUAGAGAUGUGGUGUCUCGGUGGAUGACUCUGGAGAUCCGCGAAGGAAGAGGCUGUGGCCCUGAGAAAGAUCACGUCUACCUGCAGCUGCACCACCUACCUCCAGAGCAGCUGGCCAUGCCCUUGCCCGGCAUUUCAGAGACAGCCAUGAUCUUCGCUGGUGUCGACGUCACGAAGGAGCCGAUCCCUGUCCUCCCCACUGUGCAUUAUAACAUGGACGGCAUUCCCACCAGCUACGAGGGGCAGUGGUGUCAACCGCCUCGGGGCAAACUCGCUGUUGGACCUGGUUGUCUGGUCAGGCAUGUGCCCUGAGCAUCGCAGAGUCGUGCAGGCCUGGAGAUAAAGUCCCUCCAAUUAAACCAAAUGCUGGGGAAGAAUCUGUCACGAAUCUUGACAAAUUGAGAUUUGCUGAUGGAAGAAGCAUAAGAACAUCGGAACUGUGACUCAGCAUGCAGAAGUCAACGCAAAAUCAUGCUGCCGUGUUCCGUGUGGGAAGCUUGUUGCAAGAAGGUUGUGGGAAAAUCAAGCUCUACGGAGACCUGAAGCAUCUGAAGACGUUUGACCGGGGAAUGGUCUGGAACACGGACCUGGUGGAGACCCUGGAGCUGCAGAACCUGAUGCUGUGUGCGCUGCAGACCGUCAGUGGAGCAGAGGCGUGGAAGGAGUCACGGGGCGCGCACGCCAGGGAAGACUACAAGGUGCGGAUCGAUGAGUACGAUCACUCCAAGCUCAUCCAGGGGCAACAGAAGAAGCCCUUUGAGGAGCACUGGAGGAAGCACACCCUGUCCUAUGUGGACGUCAGCACUGGGAAGGUCAGUGUGGAGCUCUUUCUCACCACAGCCCAGCACCCACACGGCCCCGCCCAGGUCUGCGGGCUGGCCUUGCUGAUGGUGAACACGGAGGAGCAGGCCAGAUUUAAAUCAACUCCGGACAGAUUUGAGGCACCGCUGAAAAAGGCACUCUGACAGCAGUCGGGCUUCGGGCUGGAAACAGAAUCCAGUGCCUGCAGGUGGUUCAGAGGAGCCUUAAGGAAGGGUUGCUCCGUGGUGUGGGCCAGAUGGAAGUCACUGGGCAGGAGCAAGUGUCCAAGGCCUGGUGGCAGGGGAGGAGAUGAUGAUUGUGGACCUAGCGAGAAAGUCAGCAUCUGUUGGGUGGGGACAGAGCCACUACCAGAAACCAGUCCCGAGCCAAGGGAGCCCAGAAGAGACCCCUCCCCUCUCCUCCCAUGGGCUGGGCCAACUGGAAGCAUCUGCAAGGGAGCUGAGGGGAUGUGGUGCAGCCCUUAGCAUCCCCUGGGCACUGAGCAAGCAGAGAAGGGCAGAAAUGGAGGCAGGGAAGCAUUGGGCAGGCAGGGUGUGGGGUUGCAGGUACAGCCAGCGUCUUGGGAACAGCCAGCCGAGGGUGUGGUAGGGGGGUUGCAGCCUUGUUCCACACAAGCACAGCGUCCUGGGAACAGCCAGCCGAGGGUGUGGUAGGGGGGUUGCAGCCUUGUUCCACAAGCACAGCGUCUGGGCAGCGGGGGUGGUAGGGGGGUUGCAGCUUGUUCCACACAAGCACAGUUCACCCGUGUGGCAUUUCUGCUGGGCAUUGAGAUUCAGAAAUCAUGAAGAUAGAAAGCUUUUACCCUUAAGCUUUUCAUAACUUGUAAGGGAGAGUCGUAUAAUCACUUAGCUGUGUCUGUGGAAGUUACCUUUGGACUCUCACUAUCAUCUAGUGUGUCUGUGAUUCAGGCAGUGGGUCAUUUUCAGGAUUUAUCAUGAAGGCCAUUUCCUGAUAGUAUAGAGAGGUCACACUUCACUCGCUUAGCACAAGUCUAUUUUUAAUGUUUCCGGGUUCAGGUUUUUUGUUUUGUUUUUGUUGUUCUGAGAUAGAGUCUCACCUCUUUUGCCCAGGCUGAAAUGUGGUGGCUCGAUCUCGUCUCACUGCACCCUCAACCUCCCCCCGGCUCAGGUGAUCCUCCCACCUCAGCCUCCCGGGCACAUGCCACCAUGCCUGGCUAAUUUUUGUAUGUUUUGUAGAGACGGGGUUUUGCCACAUUGCCCAGGCUAGUCUUGAGCUCCUGAGCUCAAGUGAUCCACCUGUCUUGGCCUCCCCAACAGGCAUGAACCAACACGCCCAGCCAGUUUCAGUGAUUUUUCAAGAAAUACAUACUCAUUUUAGAAAGUACAAAGAGAUUGAAAUAAGAGCUCACUAACCAGAGAUGACCCAUUAUGGUUUAAAUUUCUUUCUAUAUGUGCCUACCUUUUCCUGUGUGUGCAUAUUUAAUACAUGGCUUGAGUAUUCCUUCUCUGAAAUCCUUGGGACCAGAAGUGUUUUGGAUUUCAGGCUUGUUCAGACUUUGGAAUAUUUGCAUUACACUUACUGUCUGAGCAUCCCUAAUCGGAAGAUCUGACUCCAUAGCACAUUUCUUUUGAAUGUCAUGCUGGUGCUCUAGAAAGUUUCAGAUUUGGGAGAAUUUCAGAUGUUUGGAUUAGGGAUGUUCUACCUAUAUAAAUAUUUACUUUGAAGUAGAAAAACUGGAAGUAGAUAGUUUAAACAUGAAGUGUCUUGGUAUAGACAAGGGUUCUCCCACUUUUCAUGAUGGGAGCAUUUUUGUAAAGCACUGAGAAUCUGGUACAGUGUCAUUUUCAUUGCUCUGUUCCACUCUACAGAUCUGCCGUCACUUACAGUCCCCCUGUUGCGCAUGUAGAUCAUUUUUGAAUUUGUUAUUGGAAAAUACUGCAGCAAAUACCUUAAAGUUCACAUGCCGUAAAUCUACUUUUAUAGUUAAAAUUUUUUAAAAGGAACACAAGAGAUGGCUUUUUGUACAUUUUUGUGCUUAACUUACCACUGACUUCUUUUCAAGGUCACUCUGGAAUAUAGACCCAUAAUCGACAAAACUUUGAACGAGGCUGACUGUGCCACCGUCCCCCCAGCCAUUCGCUCCUACUGAUGAGACAAGAUGCGGUGAUGACAGAAUCAGCUUUUGUAAUUACGUAUAAUAGCUCAUACAUGUGUCCAUGUCAUAACUGUCUUUAUACGCUUCUGCACUCUGGGGAAGAAGGAGUACAUUGAAGGGGGAUUGGCACCCAGUGGCCGGGGAGCGUGACACUUACCUUUGUCCCUUGCUUCAUUCUUGUGACAAUAUAAAACUGGGCACAGCUCUUAAAUAAAAUAUAAAUGAACAAA
rnacentral:lncRNA from 1 species